CAGUCGUACCGGCGAGAAAUCAGCUUAUCGUGUGUUAACUUGUGGGCGUGCGUGAGUCUCGGCCUCGCUGUUCGCAUGUUUGUGCGCUUUGGGUGUUACUUUUUCGUAUGGGUUGGCCAACAUCAGUUUCGAUCACUAUAAAAUGACUGGCGGAAUGUAGCUUCGAUUUCGGUUGAAGUGUUAUAGCCUCUGGUAGAUGUGGUAAUUGGGACUGAGG
rnacentral:rRNA from 1 species